UACGGAGGGUGCGAGCGUUGUCCGGAAUCACUGGGCGUAAAGGGCGCGUAGGCGGCAGGCCAAGCGUGCGGUGAAAGUCCGGGGCUCAACCCCGGAUCUGCCGUGCGGACUGGUUUGCUAGAGCACUGUAGAGGCGAGUGGAAUUCCGGGUGUAGCGGUGGAAUGCGUAGAGAUCCGGAAGAACACCGGUGGCGAAGGCGGCCCGCUGGGAUCCUUGCUGACGCUGAGGCGCGACAGCGUGGGGAGCAAACAGG
rnacentral:rRNA from 1 species